rnacentral:rRNA from 1 species
UACGUAGGGUGCAGGCGUUAAUCGGAAUUACUGGGCGUAAAGCGAGCGUAGUCGGUUAUUUAAGUCGGAUGUGAAAUCCCCGGGCUCAACCUGGGAAUUGCAUUCGAUACUGGAUAGCUAGAGUUCGGCAGAGGGAAGCGGAAUUUCUGGUGUAGCGGUGAAAUGCGUAGAUAUCAGAAGGAACAUCAGUGGCGAAAGCGGCUUCCUGGACCAGAACUGACGAUCAGGCUCGAAAGCGUGGGGAGCAAACAGG